rnacentral:lncRNA from 1 species
GGGCACAUCGUGCGCGCCGGCGCGAACCUGGAAAGGCCACAGCUUAAUGUCCGCCUGGACAAUGGGGUCCGAGAACUUGCGGCCAAUCAGGCGCUUGGCGUCGAACACCGUGUGGCGCGGGUUCAUAGCGACCUGUGGAAGGCAGGUCGGCGAAGGCGGGUAAGUGGCUGCGCGCGCUGAAGUCGGCCCGCCCAAUUCGCAACGUACCUGGUUCUUGGCGGCAUCACCAAUCAGACGCUCAGUGUCCGUGAAGGCCACGUACGAGGGAGUGGUGCGGUUGCCCUGAUCGUUGGCAAUAAUCUCCACGCGGUCAUUCUGCCAGACACCCACGCAGCUGCGAGCAUUGAAGCACGCCAAGGGUCAGCUGGUGUCCAAGAGACGUUGAAGGUGCAGAGGGAGCUCACCUGUACGUGGUGCCCAGGUCAAUACCGAUAGCGGGGGCCUCCUUGCCCAUGUUUACUGACUCUUAAGCGAGUUGAGUGGUUAUGUAUAGCGGCAGAAUAGUCGCGUAUGUAUAAGUG